UGGUAACACUUGGAUUUGAUUUGGAACAAAAGAAUAAAAAGGAAGAAUAAAGGAAAACACAAAAGGAGUAGUCAACCAAAGAGAAAAAAAAUGAACGUGGGAAAGAGGGCAGCAAUUUUGGGAAAAACAAAAUAGAAACAAUUAAUUAAAAUUUUAAAAAGAAAAAUAAAAUCUAAUCCUAACCAACCACUAACCCCCUAACUCCUUUCUUUAUCCAAC
rnacentral:lncRNA from 1 species